rnacentral:lncRNA from 1 species
GGAGGGCCCCAGGGGGCAAAUAGGAGUCCUGGGGGCAUAUCUAGGGGUCUCAGGGGACAUCUAGGGGUCCCAGGAAGAUCCCGGGUGUAUCUAGGGGUCUCAGGGGGUACCUAGGGGCUUGSGAAGGUCCCAGAGGGUAUCAAGGGACCCAAGAAGAUCCCACAAGGGUAUGUAGGGUUCUCAGGAAGGUCCUGGGGGGUAUCUAGGGGUCCCGGGGACAUCUAGGUGCCCUGGAGGGGUCCAGGGGGCACCUAGGGGACCCAGGGGUAUCUAGGGUUCCCCGGAAGGUCCCGAGGGGUAUCAAGGGGUCCUGGGGACAUCUAGGUGCCCUGGAGGGGUCCAGGAGGUGCCUAGGGGACCCAGGGGUAUCUAGGGUUCCCAGGAAGGUCCUGAGAGGUAUCAAGGGGUCCCGGGGACAUCUAGGUGCCCUGGAGGGGUCCAGGGGGCACCUAGGGGACCCAGGGGUAUCUAGGGGUCCCCCGAAAGUCCUGAGGAAGUAGCAAGGAGCCCCAGGAGGGUCCCAGAGAGUAUCUAGGGUUCCCAGGAAGAUCCCGAGGGGUAUCAAGGGGUCCCAAGGAACAUCUAGGGGCCCCGGAGAGCCAYGGAGAAGAUCUAGGAGGCCCAAGAAGGUCCUAAAAAGGGGGGAGGGGUGUUUAAGGCACCCACCGGCGGGGUCGGGGUCCUUGCGGUCGGCGGGGUCGUAGAGGGCGGAGAUGGCGGAGGAGAUGCUCUUCUGCAGGUCCUGGUUCUUGCUGACCGAGUCCUCCUCGUCGGAGGAGAAGGAAGGCAACGUCUCCAGGUUGCGCUUGAGCUCCUCGUCGAGCCGCUUGCAGGGGCUGGGGCAGGCCAUGACCAAGCCCUCGCCCUCGGCCCCGUCCAGGCCCCCCGGCAGCAUGGGGGGCCCCACGGCGAAGGGGGGAGCCGGGGGCACCCGGGGCGUCUUGGAUGGGCUGGUGGCGGCCGGCGGCAGCUGCUGGCGCUUGCCGGACUUGAGGAAGUCGAGGAAGGAGGCCAUGAAGCCCGACUUCAUCUCCGGCUGCUUCUCCUCCACCUCCUUGAUCUUCUGCUUGAUGCGCUCGCGCGUCUGGCUGCUGUCCAGGGGCCCCUCGCCCGGCGGGGCGCCCGGYGGCGGCGGCGCCAUGCGCUGCUGCUGCUCCAAGAGGUGCACGUCCAGCGGCGCCCGGCCCUUGGCCCGCGGGUGCAGCUGGCUCUGCGUGUGCGUCAACACCGAUUGCAACAGCUGACCCUGCGCCGGGGCGCCCGGAGCCGGYGCCAAAGCCAACGGAGCCAAAUCGGGCGCCGAAUCCAACAGCAAACUGUGGGGCUCCAGGGCGGGCGCUUCGGCCACCAGGCGCCCGUGCUCGGGCGUCUUCUGCAGGUAGGAGUGAGCUUGGGGCAGCUCCUUGCCGCCGCCGCUGCCGCCGUCCAGGUGGGCGCCUUGCAGGUGCUCCACCGACUUCUUCAUGUCCUGCCCGUAGGAGUCGAGGGCGCCCGCUUGGUGGCCGUAAUGCACCACCGAGGUGGCCAGAGCCUCCGGGGUGGAGCGGGCGUGCGGAUAGUCCUUGGGCCGCUCGUUCUUCUUCUUCUCCUUGAGGCCCUGCAGCGAGAGCUCCAGCGCUUGGCUCUCCAGGUUGGAGUUGGGCCGGAUGACGCUCUGCAGGUGGUAACGUUCCUCGGGUUUGGCCAGAGCGCCGUAAGCCGCCAGGGCUUUGGCGCCGCGCUCCUCGCACUGCGCCAGCCCCUCGGCCGGUCCCCGCGGCGGGCUGGGAGCCUGCAGCAGGUGCUGGAUGAGGAAAUCCUCGUCCUCGGUGCGCUCGGCGCCCAGCAGGUCGGCUUCGCUCUUCGCCUUGCCGUACGCCGCCCCUCGCUCCAAAGCGGCCGGCGCCGCGCCGUAACCCGGCCCUGGCCCCGGCGCCAUGAAAGAAGGCGAAAGCACCGAGCCGAGGUAUUUUUGCGACUGGCCCGGCGAGGCCACGCUCUGCGGGCGGUUGGCCGGAGGCGACUGCAAGGGGCGGAUGAUCUGCGAAGGGCUGGAGUCGUUGAGGCUCUGGCCGUGGGCGUAAGCGAGGCCUUGGCCGUGCGCCGGCAUCGCCGGCGAGUGCCCGGUGCUGUAGCUGAGCGAGGGGCUGGCGGUGGGCAAACCCUGCGAGUGCGGCGGCCCGUAACCCGCCGCUUGGCUCACCUCGGGUUGGACGCCGUACGGAAGCGCUUGGAGCUGUUCCGGCGAGUAAGUUUGACUCUGGCUGACGCACGGUUGUAAAGCCGGAGCGCCCGGAGCGUUUUGAGGCGGUUGAGCCUGCCCCGGCGGGUAACUGGGCGCUUUGGCACCGCCGGGCAGCUCGGGAGCCGGCGUGCCGCCGAAAGCCUGCGAGGCCUGGCUGACGGCGGAGAGGCUCUGCGCUUGGCCGCCGCCGUAGCCGCCCGCUUGCCCCAUGGCCAGCAAACCUUGCGGCUGGCCCGGCGAGUAGGCGGGCGACUGGCUGGCGAUGACGGAGCUGGCUUUCGGCGUGGACGAGGUGUAGCUGCUUUGGCACUUGGGGGUGGCGGUGGAGCGGGGCGGCUGGCGCGAGGCCGAGUAGCUUUUGGAUUUGGAAGUGGAGGCGGCGGCGGCGGCGGUGCCGGAAUAACCGGGCGAUUGGAUGAUGGGUCGAUAACCGGGCGCCGCUUCCUGCCGAGCGGCUUGGGCCGUUUUGGGAGGUUGCUGGGAAGCUUCGGAAGCGGCGGGCGACUGCUCGCCCAAGGGGCUGCAGGAGAGGCCGGCGCGGUGCGGCAUUUGCUGGUAGGCGCCGCCGCAGCUCAGGUAGUGCUGCAGCGAGUGGGCGGCGGGCGGCAGGCCCGGCUGGGCGCCGGCGGGCCGCUGGUAGUGCUUGAUGACGCUGUCCUGGCGCGGCACGGCCCGCUCCAUGGCGGGCGCGCCGCCGAAGACGGAGGCGUUGUAGAGCUGCGCCGGCUGCUCGGCGGGCGCCGCCAGCGACGACGGCAGCAGGUUGAACUGCGACGGCAAGUGGCGGGACGCCGACUCCUGGGCGCUGCGGUAAGCCGAGCUCUGCGCCGGCAAACCGGGGCCCAGCACGGCGCUGCCCAGGCGCUCGAAGCUCAGCGACGACGGCACGCUGCCCUGCGCCGGCUUGAUGUGCAGCAGCGGGUCGUGCGGCGAGAGGAGCCCGUUGGAGCUGGGGCUGAAGGCGGCGUCCUGCAGGCUCAGCGACGAGCUCACCGGGAAGCUGCGGCCGCUGAACGACGCCGGGUGCUGGUAGGCG